CAGAUACGGAAGUGCGAGCUUUCCCCGUCUUAAUCAGUGACCAGAGUGAGAUUGUGGACACCAAUGGAGCUGGAGAUGCAUUUGUGGGAGGUUUCCUCUCGCAGCUUGUGUACGACCGGCCGCUGACCGAGUGCAUCCGUGGCGGGCACUACGCUGCCAGCGUGAUCAUCAAGCGUUCUGGCUGCACCUUCCCAGAGAAGCCUGACUUCCACUGAUGUUGGGCUACCCGAGAGAUCAAACAGGGGUCUCUGCCUCUUCCUCCCCCUUCUCCCGCGUCCCCAGUGACCCUGCACUGACGCUUCUGUACUUCUAUUCAUGUUUGUUAUCUGUGUUCCAGCAGCCCUUUUCUUCUCCCUGACACAACAGCGACUCACAUGUAUUACAUUAGAGGUCGUGCCCCCCGGUGAGGCUCCGUUCAGCCCCAGUACUUAGUAACCCCCCCCCCCCCACAUCACCACACCCCAGCACAGUUCCCAGGAGCGGCACUAUACGAAAACACACCGCCUCUGAUCUAGCAGUGCUUCCAUACAUAUAUUCUGCUUUGCUUGCCUAAUCCAGGUGAGAAGAAAUUAAGUUCAAUGGGUAUAAAGUUGAUUUGAUAGACCUUGCCCUGGUUUAAAAACGGGCGCCGUUAGCGAGGAGAAUUUCUGUCUCCUUUUUCCCACCCAUGAUUCUACAUUCACACUCAAACAGUAGGCUCUAUCCCAGUGACGAAGGGAGGGGAAACUGCGCCCGGGGCAUGAACUUCCUGUGCGACCCCUCCCUCCCCUGACCCCUCUCACCCCCGACAUGCCCCGGCCCCCCUCCUGACACGUGACUGCAAUGGCGGCGGCCGGGGUGAGCCACCCUGGAUAUCCCCAUUGCAGCUGUGCCUCUGCUCAGUCCUGCUUCUGUGGUGAGGCUGGUCUGAGGUCAUGUGGCCUGGAGCCAUCUUUAGGAACGGUCAGGACUGGGCUCUUUGGCCCCAGGGUCCUUUGGGGGUACAGGCAAGGCCCCGAAUAGGCCCCUCUCUCUUGUCUCAGAGGACUUGAAGGCUGCAUCUCAAAGGCUCGAACCGUGUGAAAAGGAAGUACAGAAAUAUUCAUGCAGGGGAUCUCAUCAGGAUAUGCCAAAAUGGAAUCUUUGAUGUCAACGCACAGUUUUAAGACAACAGUGUACUUCGUAUAAAUAAGAAAUCUUCUGAAUUUUAUUUGUAUUGCAGUAUUCAAGGGAGGUGUUCUGAAAAUGCCAUUCAUUUACUUUGCUAUGUAAUUUGAUACUGAUAAAUAAAAUAAUUGUUAUACGGGA